UACAGAGGGUGCAAGCGUUGUUCGGAAUUACUGGGCGUAAAGGGCGUGUAGGCGGUUGAACAAGUCAGAUGUGAAAUCCCGGGGCUUAACUCCGGAAGUGCAUUUGAAACUGUUCGGCUAGAGUGUAGUAGAGGAUGGCGGAAUUCCCAGUGGAGAGGUGAAAUUCGUAGAUAUUGGGAGGAACACCGGUGGCGAAGGCGGCUAUCUGGCCCGUGAUUGACGCUGAGGCGCGAAAGCGUGGGGAGCAAACAGG
rnacentral:rRNA from 1 species